rnacentral:lncRNA from 1 species
UGGGGUCACUAGGCCCCUUUGUCACCACCAUUGCCACCCACAGCAGUAAUUUUUUGACAAUGAUGAUUCUGUGUAUAGGUAUAGAUAUAGGAACCUAGCUUUAAAAACUGAAAACGUGUGACUCUUUCAUCCUACAUCUCAUAAAGUCACUCAUUCUGUUUAUUCUUCUCAAUAGCAGAGAUUUUCUAAGUACAACAACAAUAACAAAAUUGCUGCAGAUAAGACUAAUCAUGCCAUUGAGAAUGCAGUGGCUUAGGGAAGGGAAAAUUGUAGCAGAAGUUUUCAAAACAAAGGACUUUUGGCUCUCAGUGGCACACCAGGAA